rnacentral:rRNA from 1 species
AUUGAACGCUGGCGGCAUGCUUUACACAUGCAAGUCGAGCGGCAGCGCGGGGGCAACCCUGGCGGCGAGCGGCGAACGGGUGAGUAAUGCAUCGGAACGUAUCCUCGAGUGGGGGAUAACCCAGCGAAAGUUGGGCUAAUACCGCAUGAGCUCUGAGGAGGAAAGCGGGGGACCUGCGAGGGCCUCGCGCUGGAGGAGCGGCCGAUGUCCGAUUAGCUAGUUGGUGGGGUAAAGGCUUACCAAGGCGACGAUCGGUAGCUGGUCUGAGAGGAUGAUCAGCCACACUGGGACUGAGACACGGCCCAGACUCCUACGGGAGGCAGCAGUGGGGAAUUUUGGACAAUGAGGGCAACCCUGAUCCAGCCAUGCCGCGUGAGUGAAGAAGGCCUUCGGGUUGUAAAGCUCUUUCGGACGGAACGAAAUGGGCGGGACUAAUACUCCUGUCUGAUGACGGUACCGGAAGAAGAAGCACCGGCUAACUACGUG